UACGGAGGGUGCAAGCGUUAUCCGGAUUUACUGGGUUUAAAGGGUGUGUAGGCGGGUCUUUAAGUCAGUGGUGAAAUCUCCGAGCUUAACUUGGAAACUGCCAUUGAUACUAUUGAUCUUGAAUUCUGUUGAGGUGGGCGGAAUAUGUCAUGUAGCGGUGAAAUGCUUAGAUAUGACAUAGAACACCAAUUGCGAAGGCAGCUCACUAAGCAGAUAUUGACGCUGAGGCACGAAAGCGUGGGGAUCAAACAGG
rnacentral:rRNA from 1 species